GACGAACGCUGGCGGCGUGCUUAACACAUGCAAGUCGAACGCUGAAGCUCAGCUUUUGUUGGGUGGAUGAGUGGCGAACGGGUGAGUAACACGUGAGUAACCUGCCCCCUUCUUUGGGAUAACGCCCGGAAACGGGUGCUAAUACUGGAUAUUCACUGGUCUUCGCAUGGGGGUUGGUGGAAAGGGUUUUUCUGGUGGGGGAUGGGCUCGCGGCCUAUCAGCUUGUUGGUGGGGUGAUGGCCUACCAAGGCUUUGACGGGUAGCCGGCCUGAGAGGGUGACCGGUCACAUUGGGACUGAGAUACGGCCCAGACUCCUACAGGAGGCAGCAGUGGGGAAUAUUGCACAAUGGGCGCAAGCCUGAUGCAGCGAUGCCGCGUGAGGGAUGGAGGCCUUCGGGUUGUGAACCUCUUUCGCUCAUGGUCAAGCCGCAACAAUGGUUGUGGUGAGGGUAGUGGGUAAAGAAGCGCCGGCUAACUACGUG
rnacentral:rRNA from 1 species